GAUGAACGCUGGCGGCGUGCCUAAUACAUGCAAGUCGAGCGAACGGACGCGAAGCUUGCUCUUCUGAUGUUAGCGGCGGACGGGUGAGUAACACGUGGAUAACCUACCUAUUAGACUGGGAUAACUUCGGGAAACCGGAGCUAAUACCGGAUAAUAUUUUGAACCGCAUGGUUCAAAAGUGAAAGAAGGUCUUGCCGUCCCUUAUAGAUGGAUCCGCGCUGCAUUAGCUAGUUGGUAGGGUAACGGCUUACCAAGGCAACGAUGCAUAGCCGACCUGAGAGGGUGAUCGGCCACACUGGAACUGAGACACGGUCCAGACUCCUACGGGAGGCAGCAGUAGGGAAUCUUCCGCAAUGGGCGAAAGCCUGACGGAGCAACGCCGCGUGAGUGAUGAAGGUCUUCGGAUCGUAAAACUCUGUUAUUAGGGAAGAACAUAUGUGUAAGUAACUGUGCACAUCUUGACGGUACCUAAUCAGAAAGCCACGGCUAACUACGUG
rnacentral:rRNA from 1 species